UAUAUAAAAGAGAGUUUUCAUCUCUCCCAUGAAGCCACCUCAGCAUCCACAUCAGAAAUUAAAGUCACCUAAAGCCAACACGUGUCCAAAAAAAAUCUAACCUAAUGAUAGCGUUUCUUUCUUCUUCGUUGCCUUUUCAGUGUCUCAAUCCAAUUUCUCAGCGGUUCCCAGUUUUAUACGAUUACCAUUGAUUUUACCUAUUACUACUUUUUUUCUUCAAAACAGUAAUAUUUAUCAAGGGCAGCUAAAACUCAGCUUCAGACGAUCUCAACCCAGAAAACAAAAUUGCAGCGAAAUUUCAAACGAAGAUUCAACAACACACUGAUGUCUUUCUAGCUUGAUCUUCCACCUCUUCUGGCAAAGGGUCUGCCUUUCUCUUUUUGAUGCUGCCAAGAAAAAAGCCACCGUUAUAGAGAAUUGUUACAGUGAUUUGAGCAAGGCAGAGACGGGAUAGUCACUCCGGCAACACAGCAAUAGAGAAACUGGAAUUUGAUCUUAUCCACUGACUCAAUUUUUAUUGUUCUUCAGGAAAAUUGAUUUUCAGUAUUUGAUUUUUUUUUAACACAAUUUUUCAGUAUUUGAUUUACAUUUAAUUUUCUAGGUUAUUUGUUUUUUAAAAUAAGAAUCUAGGUUAUAUUGGUAGUAUUUUCAAAACCGUUGAGAAAGAAGAGGCGUCUCUUUUUAGCUACUAGAGCUUCAAGAACAGAGAAUCAUGAUGCUAUAUGGUUGGAAUACUGACACUGAGACACCGAAUCCUUGGUCUGUGCAACACAAGAGCUGAUCUGAGGAAACAGAGUCCAUUUAGCAAUCAACAAGUACACUGAGCCUGGACUGAGUUUAUUAGUUGUUGCAAGACGGACUCUACCUGAGAAAACAAAAAAUAAGCUCGGGUGGUCCUGGUCCAUGUGAAUUCAUUGGUGUGUUGCCUUUGUUUGGUCCUCCAAGACAUGAUAGUGCAUACACCAUUAGAAGAGCUUCAGACCUAGGUGUCAACAUCCAGAUGAUCAUUGUUGAUCAAGCUUUUGCCAAAUAGACUUGACAUAGGCUCGGUAUGGGAUCAGACAUGUAUCCAUCAGCAUCAACUUCUCUACUUGAUAAUCACAAAGACGAAAACUUAGCUGCUGUCGCCCAGAGCACAAGUACAAGAUUGUGAAGAAGUUGCCUGAGUUGAAGCAUACAUGUAGAAUGGCUGGUGAUGAAUGCUCAUGCUUUGAAAGGAGUCAAUAUCGGUAUCGCUGUUUCUGAUGCUACAGAUGCUGCACCAGGCGCUUCUGAUGUUGUUCUCACCAAGGCUUGAGUCAGUGUUAUCAUCAGCGCAAUUUUAACCACUCGAGCUAUUUUCUAAAGAAUGAAAAACUAUACAGCUACAUGGCUUUAGUGACCAUCGUUUCUUCUGCGCUGCUUAGAGAACCAACUUCUUCCUGAUAACUUUCCAUGUGAGAGACUUGAGAUGCAAUGGACUUGAAAGGAUGUGUGCUUUGUAAUUCGGGAGUGUUGUGUGCCAAGCUCUUAUAUUCAUCACUUGAGCAAGAGGCAUGUAUUUUCCAGAACGACCUUCUGAUAG